GGCCGUGGCUCAGCGGUAGAGCGCUGGCCUGGCACGUGUGAGGCCUGGGUUCGGCCCUCAGCACCA
rnacentral:tRNA from 1 species